rnacentral:lncRNA from 1 species
AUGGCAGUGGGCCAAAGGUGACACACCACCUCCUUGCUCUGUGUGGUCUGGGGCUAUCUUGAACUGUCAGUACCAGCAAGGCAGUGACAUCUCUGAGGAAGCCUUGCACAGAGCACCAGGUUUGGAGCCCAGGAUGCAUGAGGGGACACAGAAGGCUUUUCCUGAGCGUAGGAGCAGCCUUUAGGAAGCAAGUUGGCGCAUGGGAGUGAACCCACAGAAAGGAGUCCUCAGCAUAUGAUCACUUCUGCAGCAGCAACAAGACUUGAGGCAGGAUGGCACAAAAGCAUCACUGAGUUACUACCAACCUCUGAGAAGUGCAUCAGGAAGGUUGAGGUUCCUG